rnacentral:rRNA from 1 species
UACGUAGGGUGCAAGCGUUGUCCGGAAUUAUUGGGCGUAAAGAGCUCGUAGGCGGUUUGUUGCGUCGGCUGUGAAAUCCCGAGGCUCAACCUCGGGUCUGCAGUCGAUACGAGCAAACUAGAGUGUUGCAGGGAGACUGGAAUUCCUGGUGAUAGCGGUGAAAUGCGCAGAUAUCAGGAGGAACACCGGUGGCGAAGGCGGGUCUCUGGGCAACAACAUGACGCUGGAGGAGCGAAAGCGUGGGGAGCGAACAGGAUUAG